GUCUGAUGCCCAGCUGACAUCUGGAGGACAGGAGUGCAGUGUGAAGAGGUGAAGGCAGGGAAACAAGUGGCCCGCCCGGGGCCUCGAGGCUGGGCUAGCAAAGCUGAGAAUAUCAGUCGCCCAUUCUCCCCUGGUCACCAGCCCUGAUUUGUCCUUGGAGCUUCAAAUAGUGUCUUUGAGAAGUGAUGCUGACAUCACCAUAGUUAGCGUUUGCUGAGAGCCAGACUCCGUGCUGGGGGACCAGGGUGGGGAGAGUGAUAAUUUGCAGACCAGUAUAUGAAAGAGCAUCUCACCUCAACACGGCAUUUACGGAAGGCCCAGGGAGUCAGAGCGGGUGGUGGGAGCCCAGGCCCCUGGGCAUCAGGCCAGGCUUCCCAAUGGGACGUUGAGACCUUGCAGGACUCGUGAAAACCUCGAAGCUGCCAUGACCUGCAAGAAUGCAACAAUGGUGGAAUUGCAGUGCUGCAAAGACAGGACUCAGUGCCAAUUCACAGAGGAGGAAAUGGAGGCUCAGAGAAUUAAUCAUCCACCUGAGCUCACACAACAGGGACUCAAAGCCUCACCAAGACUCCAAGCAUCGCUCUGGAGACUAUCAGACUCCAGGGGCCCAGCACAGAGCCAGGUCUGAACCAAGUCCUCUCGGCUGGAACCCCUGUUCUGCCCAGUUCAGGCAUCAGGAAGAGUCAUCAUCCUGUGAGACUAACAACAACAACAGGGGAGCCUUCGCACGGCUCUGCAUGUGAUCGAGACCCACCACGUGCCAGGCCGCUGGGGCAUCUGUCCGCUGCCCCAUGAGGUAUUCCUCACCUGGAGACAGAGGCCGUCAGGUUGGGCCCUGCUCUCCCUCCAGCCACCACCCCAUGGCACCCCAGGAGCACUCUCCUGUGCUUGGGGAAGCCGCCAGCAGCCUCAGUUUCCCCAUCUGUGUGAGACGCUUGGCUCUUUGGACUCUGGAGACCCGCAGAGAGAAGCUCUCUCCCUGCUUGGCGGAGCCACGGACCUCAAAGGCUGGCCGCUGAAGGGCCCUGACAUCCUUGGGAACAAUGUCGCCUGUUUACCUGACAGAUUGUCUGCUUUCUUUUCAUCUCGGAGGAAAAGAGCUCCUGCUGGGAACCGCUAAUCCCAGGCGACCGGCCUGCUGCUAUCUGCUGUGGAGCAAACUGAGGCCCAGUGAAGCCUACGACACACAGGCCUGCACCCAUGCUGCACGAGGUGGUGGUGCAGGAGCCCAGAUGUGAACCAGGCUCUCCGGCAGCCACGGGAACAAGGUACAGGGCUCCUUGGAGAGGGCACGAAAGGUUUCUGGAGGCGGCAGAUGUGUGUAGGGUCUGGAAGCACCCACUGGAGUUUCCCAGCCAGACAAGAUGGGGAAGAGGCCCUGGAUGGGGAAAGACGUCUGCGAGGACGCAUUAGAAGCAAUGUGAGCAAAAUCUGAGGCACCCUAGGGUCUGUCCAAACACACUUUCCCAGGAAUUUUGUGUGUAAAAGAAGCAUUGAAAAUGAAAUCCUACUUCUAAAAUCAGUGAG
rnacentral:lncRNA from 1 species